CAGCCGCCGCGGUAAUACGUAGGGGGCGAGCGUUGUCCGGAAUUACUGGGCGUAAAGGGCGUGUAGGCGGCCUGUUAAGUCAGGGGUGAAAGACCGGGGCUCAACCCCGGGGGUGCCUCUGAAACUGGCGGGCUUGAGUGCUCUAGAGGGCAGUGGAAUUCCCGGUGUAGCAGUGAAAUGCGUAGAGAUCGGGAGGAACACCAGUGGCGAAGGCGGCUGCCUGGGGAGUCACUGACGCUGAGGCGCGAAAGCUAGGGGAGCAAACAGGAUUAGAUACCCUGGUAGUCCUAGCCGUAAACGAUGAGCGCUAUGUGUGAGGGGUAUCGACCCCCCUCGUGCAGUAGCUAACGCAUUAAGCGCUCCGCCUGGGGAGUACGGCCGCAAGGUUGAAACUUAAAGGAAUUGGCGGG
rnacentral:rRNA from 1 species